UGGGGAAUAUUGCACAAUGGGCGAAAGCCUGAUGCAGCGACGCCGCGUGAGGGAUGACGGCCUUCGGGUUGUAAACCUCUUUCAGUAGGGAAGAAGCGAAAGUGACGGUACCUGCAGAAGAAGCGCCGGCUAACUACGUGCCAGCAGCCGCGGUAAUACGUAGGGCGCCAGCGUUAUCCGGAAUUAUUGGGCGUAAAGAGCUCGUAGGCGGUUUGUCGCGUCUGCCGUGAAAGUCCGGGGAUCAACUCC
rnacentral:rRNA from 1 species